rnacentral:rRNA from 1 species
UAGGGAAUCUUCCACAAUGGACGAAAGUCUGAUGGAGCAACGCCGCGUGAGUGAUGAAGGGUUUCGGCUCGUAAAACUCUGUUGUUGGAGAAGAACGGGUGUCAGAGUAACUGUUGACGUCGUGACGGUAUCCAACCAGAAAGCCACGGCUAACUACGUGCCAGCAGCCGCGGUAAUACGUAGGUGGCAAGCGUUGUCCGGAUUUAUUGGGCGUAAAGCGAGCGC